UCCCCAGAUGUUGUUGGACUACAACUCCCAUCAUCCCUGAGCUCUGGUCUUGCUAGCUAGGGGUGAUGGGAGUUGUAGUUCAACAACAUCUGGGGA
rnacentral:miRNA from 1 species